rnacentral:lncRNA from 1 species
UUUUUUUUUUUUUUUUUUUUUUAUUAUUAUUAUUUUUUAUUGGGAUAAUACAGUGUUGUUAUCGUUCUUAAAAUUUACUCAGUCUGAAAGGCUGUAAUGAACGUGCGAAACUAUCAGGUUUUCCUGCAACAUGGUACGCUUUGAUGCAUCAAGUCCUAGAUGCUCGUUUGAAUGAUGUAACCUGAUGUAACCUGGUGCAAGUAACCUGAUUUAACCUGCUGCUAGCUGUGUAACCCGAUGUAAGUAUUUCUGCCCAGAAAAAUGUACACAACAAUGCCAGGCGCCUAUGUGUCAACUAGUAGAUCUCUCAAUAAUAGAUAAUGGCUCUGAAGAGCAUUCAGAAGACAUUCACCCAAGCGUGAAAAGAGCAGUACGAUCCCAACAAAGUUUAUCCGUGUCAAUGUCUGGCCUUCACCACUUCGAUGGAACUCUCAUUCGUGCAUACAGGAGGUAUCGUUUCUCUUUCACCAAUCCAUCAAACAUGGACACAUUCUGUCUCAUAUUGCAAUGAGAACAAAAAAACAUUCCAAAUACUUUACAGGUUCCUACCACUCCUCGGUCCCUCAUCGUAGAAUCCAAGUUGUGAGCCA